rnacentral:rRNA from 1 species
AUUGAACGCUGGCGGAAUGCUUUACACAUGCAAGUCGAACGGCAGCACGGGGCAACCUGGUGGCGAGUGGCGAACGGGUGAGUAAUACAUCGGAACGUGCCCAGUCGUGGGGGAUAACGUAGCGAAAGCUACGCUAAUACCGCAUACGAUCUACGGAUGAAAGCGGGGGACUCGCAAGAGCCUCGCGCAAUUGGAGCGGCCGAUGGCAGAUUAGGUAGUUGGUGGGGUAAAGGCUCACCAAGCCUGCGAUCUGUAGCUGGUCUGAGAGGACGACCAGCCACACUGGAACUGAGACACGGUCCAGACUCCUACGGGAGGCAGCAGUGGGGAAUUUUGGACAAUGGGCGCAAGCCUGAUCCAGCCAUUCCGCGUGCAGGAUGAAGGCCUCGGUUGUAAC